UUGCUUCCUGAUGUUAGCGGCGGACGGGUGAGUAACACGUGGGUAACCUGCCUGUAAGACUGGGAUAACUCCGGGAAACCGGGGCUAAUACCGGAUGGUUGUUUGAACCGCAUGGUUCAAACAUAAAAGGUGGCUUCGGCUACCACUUACAGAUGGACCCGCGGCGCAUUAGCUAGUUGGUGAGGUAACGGCUCACCAAGGCAACGAUGCGUAGCCGACCUGAGAGGGUGAUCGGCCACACUGGGACUGAGACACGGCCCAGACUCCUACGGGAGGCAGCAGUAGGGAAUCUUCCGCAAUGGACGAAAGUCUGACGGAGCAACGCCGCGUGAGUGAUGAAGGUUUUCGGAUCGUAAAGCUCUGUUGUUAGGGAAGAACAAGUACCGUUCGAAUAGGGCGGUACCUUGACGGUACCUAACCAGAAAGCCACGGCUAACUACGUGCCAGCAGCCGCGGUAAUACGUAGGUGGCAAGCGUUGUCCGGAAUUAUUGGGCGUAAAGGGCUCGCAGGCGGUUUCUUAAGUCUGAUGUGAAAGCCCCCGGCUCAACCGGGGAGGGUCAUUGGAAACUGGGGAACUUGAGUGCAGAAGAGGAGAGUGGAAUUCCACGUGUAGCGGUGAAAUGCGUAGAGAUGUGGAGGAACACCAGUGGCGAAGGCGACUCUCUGGUCUGUAACUGACGCUGAGGAGCGAAAGCGUGGGGGAGCGAACAGGAUUAGAUACCCUGGUAGUCCACGCCGUAAACGAUGAGUGCU
rnacentral:rRNA from 2 species